GACGGAGGAUGCAAGUGUUAUCCGGAAUCACUGGGCGUAAAGCGUCUGUAGGUGGUUUAAAAAGUCCACUGUUAAAAAUUGAAGCUUAACUUCAAAGAUGCCGUGGAAACUUUUAAACUUGAGUAUGGUAGGGGUAGAGGGAAUUUCCAGUGGAGCGGUGAAAUGCGUAGAGAUGUGGAGGAAUACCGAUGGCGAAGGCAGCCCCCUGGGCCAAUACUGACGCUCAUGCACGAAAGCGUGGGGAGCAAACAGG
rnacentral:rRNA from 1 species